rnacentral:rRNA from 1 species
UCCUACGGGGGGCAGCAGUCGAGGAUCUUCGGCAAUGAGCGCAAGCUUGACCGAGCGACGCCGCGUGUGCGAUUGAAGGCCUUCGGGUUGUAAAGCACUGUCGAGGGGGAGAAAAGCCCGCAAGGGUGUGAUCUAUCCCUGGAGGAAGCACGGGCUAAGUUCGUGCCAGCAGCCGCGGUAAGACGAACCGUGCGAACGUUGUUCGGAAUCACUGGGCUUAAAGGGCGCGUAGGCGGGCUGCCGCGUCCGGGGUGAAAGCCCACGGCUCAACCGUGGAACUGCCGCGGAUACGGGCGGUCUCGAGGGGGGUAGGGGCACGCGGAACUGUGGGUGGAGCGGUGAAAUGCGUUGAUAUCCACAGGAACUCCGGUGGCGAAGGCGGCGUGCUGGACCCCAUCUGACGCUGAGGCGCGAAAGCCAGGGGAGCAAACGGGAUUAGAUACCCGGGUAGUCAA